GUGAGGCCUUCGGACUGGCCCUGGGAGGUCGGCAACGACCACCCGGGGCCGGAAAGUUCGUCAAACUUGGUCAUUUAGAGGAAGUAAAAGUCGUAACAAGGUCUCCGUAGGUGAACCUGCGGAGGGAUCAUUA
rnacentral:rRNA from 1 species